rnacentral:rRNA from 1 species
AAUAUGGUAGGAGGGCGUUCUGUAAGCCUGCGAAGGUGUCUUGUAAAGGAUGCUGGAGGUAUCAGAAGUGCGAAUGCUGACAUGAGUAGCGAUAAUGCGGGUGAAAAGCCCGCACGCCGUAAGCCCAAGGUUUCCUGUUCAACGUUCAUCGGAGCAGGGUGAGUCGGCCCCUAAGGCGAGGCAGAGAUGCGUAGCUGAUGGGAAGCAGGUUAAUAUUCCUGCACCGUCGUAUGA